UUUCCUAUAAAGACCUAUGAAAAGAACUUGAAGAUUUUGAAGUAAAACACUGUGUAAACGAAUGCAGAAGUGACUUAGUAGAUUUUAGGAACUUAUAACUUAGGCUUGGUGUACCAACACUCCAAAAUGGAAUAUGUUGCUACUGCCUGUGCUUUGUCCAUCCAAUUUUGCUUUCACUAACCAGAAAAAUUGAGACAAGUUCCAUUCAAUGUGGUGUUCACAAAAACUGGGUGUUAGAGGAAUUAUUAAGAGAAUCGGCUCAGGUAUGUUAAAGGCUAAUCCUUCCUUCUUUUGGCGUGAUCCAAGUAACGAUACGUAAACAUAAUAGUAUUCCAUAAGUGGUUCUACUCUUAGCCCUUAAGGAUGUCUAUGUUAUUCCUUCCCCUACGAUCAUGCAUAUUAAUUUGAGGACAUUAAUUAUGUGUAAUAGUUGGCAUCCUGUGUUCAUGACUUUUUGGAGAUUUGUUAAGAUCACAUUCUAGUCCCUCUACAUGUUCUGGGAACGGUAUUGUUUCAAUUUAAUCCUUAAUCUUAAUACCUUUAAUGAUAUAGAGAAAGCAAGAAAAGGACGGAGACAGAUUUGAUGUAGUAAUAUAUUAAGAUGCUCUGACCAUAUUCAUACUUAUUUGCAGCUUACUUGACUGAGUGGGUGAGAGGAAAUUGUAGGUCAAUUUGGUAGUGUACUAAUUACACAGAUUUGGUGCUUCAUUUUUGGAGUGUUUCCAUAGGUAUAAUUUUCAUUUCAUGAAUAUUACUCCGAGCAGAAGGCUUCCACUAAAAUGAUUUUUAUUUCAUUUGGUUCCUUUUGUAGACAGUAUCCUAAUUAACACAUUCUGCCAAAUAUAUAAACGAUACAAAUUAAGGUUCAUUUGUCGUCCUUUUAUUUUGCAAAAUAAUAAUAAUAAAAAACUAACCCAAGCCCCUCGUCUUUAUUCUUCAUAUUAAAAAAAUACUUACUACUAAUACUAAAGUAGUACCAUGCUAAAACUACACCAUCAUCAAGCAUUGACAUCUCAUUAUAAAAGUUAAAAGUUAGCAGUUUCAAGAUAUUUUCCCUAACUUAUUCAAAGGCAAAAUACAUAGUUUACCCAUUAACCUUAUACCCAAAUCCCUGUUACACACCUUUCGGCCACGGGCAACUUUUUACAUACCCAACCUUUUAAAAGUGUAUCUAAUAUACACUACUUUUUGACAGAUAGCAUAGGCGUGUCUAACAAACAAAGUAAGCGCGUAAAACCUCUAAAUUUCAAUCCAGAUCUUUAAUUAAAUGCCAUGUAUCACAAUUUUUAACACAUGGCACUAGUGGGUCCCAUAAUUCUAUUCAUUUCUUAUUUUUCUAGAAAAAUUUCUUCUUCUUCUUUUCAUCUUCAUUUUUGUCCGAUUGUUAAUCAAGUGCAAGUUCUCUUUCUCCCUCAUUUCUUCUCCAAAGCAUGAUCUGACAUUUGUGCCUUAUCGUACUCAUUUAAAGUUUUAUGGUAUUUUCUGUUAUAUUUUUUAUUUUUCACAGCGGUCGAUUAAAAGGGACGGUAGCUAUGGAGUUUUGGGGUUUUCAGGUGAAGUAAUUUUGGGGUCUCGUUCUAUGGUAAUUUUCAUGGUUCGGUUAAUUAUUUUUACUUUGGAGUCUCUUUCUAUGGUACUUUCUGUUGUUUUGGGCGGAUUUCUUUAAAUGACCUUCCGCCGAACUAUUCUUCAAAAAAUCAAGACUGGGAAAUCACCUUCUACUUUUGGCACUUCAAUCUUCAAAUUACCUUUGUCUGAAGGAAAACUUAAUAGUGUUGGUGAACCCACUUCUUAAUUUGCCUUUUAUUUUCCUUUCCUAAAUCAUCUUCCGGCGAACUCAAAUCUCGACACAGAAUUAAAGCAAAUUCUGAAGUGGGCUUUUGGGGUUAAGUUAUAAUAUAGCUUGAUAUUAUCUCAAGAUUUCUGAUUCUUCGCGCUUCCUUGAGAUUUUCUAUUUUAAUUUUGGUUUGAACCGGAAGGUGGUGACCUGGAUUGUUCUAGAUAUCGACGGCAACGGAUAAUUAGUCAGAGAACAAAAAGAGAUGAAAGAGAGAAAAUGGUUAAAGGGUAUAGUUGUAAGUUUAAGUGUUUUAUUUUUUAAAUAAAAAAUAGUGACACGUGUCACUAUCUGAUUGGAGCGUGAAAUUACACAUGUUUUGAAAAAUUGGUCAAGAAAAAAGUAGUGUGUAUUUGACACACUUUUAAAAGGUUGGGUGUGUAAAAGGUUGCCCGUGGUCAAGAGGUGUGCAGGGAUUUGGGUGCAAAGUUAAUGGGUAAACUAGGUAUUUUUUCUUAUUCAAAUGAUAUUUACGUUGUUUUGCUAAAGCUUCUCCAUAUAUUAUUUUCUAUUUAUUAUUAUAGGGAGAAUAGUAAGUGAAAUAUUCAAAUGUACAUUUUUUAUUUAUUUCCUAGAUUCUUGUCCUCCUUAUGCAGCGAUAAUGAUUUAGGUUAGUCUAGAGUUUGUGCAUUAAAAUUCUUAAUUAGCUUUACCAUAUUGCACUUGUAGUAGGCAAGUAAUUAAUACUUACCAUUAUUAAUAACUUACUUUAAUUUCAAUUGUCAAGUAGUUUGAUAAUAGUCAUAUGACAUUCCAAGAGAGUUGAUUGACGUACUUUUUAUGCAUUUCAUGCAUUUAUACAUGCAUAUUUACCCAGGACUCAGACGGUGUUAUAUACGCGUAUAUAUAUAUAUAUAUAUGGGAUAUGGGAAAAGGUUACGGCGUUAUAUAGCACUACUACGUGAUCAACUGGUAUAUGUUGAUGAUUUUGCCCACAGUGGCCGAGAUGAUAUAAUGGGAUGCCCUCAGAGGCUUGAUAAUAUUAUGAGCACAUGUACCUAUGCACGACAUGACAUUCAUACGCAUAUGCAUAUGCAUAUGCAUGAUACUAUAAGGAUUUCAUGAUUUACAGAGAUAUCCAGAUUCACAGGUUGAUUCUUAUAUAUCUUUAAAUAAAUAUUGACUUAUUGUUAUGUUUCAGUUCUACUGUACAUACUCAAUACAUUAUUCGUACUGUCGUCCUUUUCUUGGGGACGCUGCAUUCAUUCCUGCAAGUAUAGAUAAUCAGUUUGACGAGCCCUCAUAAUAGUCGAGAUUAACAUUCAACGAAUGAUAGGUAAGACUCCACCUCAUUCGGAGUACAACCGGGUCUAUGAGUCAUCAUGGCAAAAUUUUUCUACAAACUUAUGGGUAGGCCGGUACCCUAUUCCAUUUGAUGUCAAAUAAUCGUAGAGACUUUGUAGAUAGAGAGUCAGAUUUUACAGUAUGUCAAAGGCCUUGACGACCCAUAUGUAUUCAUGUUUUAAGAAAGAUGGUUUAUUAAUAUAAUAUUUGCCCACUUACAAUUGUACAUUACGAGUUGUGACUAUGUUGGCCCAUGAUUGUUACAAAAGGAACGAAUGAGUUACAAAGUGGUUCGCUCGGGCCACUACAGCACCGGGUGCCAGCCACACCCCCCAGGCUUGGGGCGUGACACCAAAAUAGCACGACACGGAGAUAACCAAUACAUGCCUGAUAUCAGAUCAAAAUCCACCAUACAAAGCAACAGAAGGUCCACUCGGAUCUCCAAACCCCUAAUAGUCACAACACACGACCGAUAUACGCGGUCCACAAUAAUAGUAUCACCCACCGGAGUAGAUACACGAAUAGAUGAAACAAGAGACUCACGGAUCGUAUCUAAAUAACGAGCAAAAUAUGAUGACACAUAUGAAAAAGUGAAACCAGGAUCAAAUAACACAGAGGCAUCUCUAUGGCAAACUGAGACAAUAUCUGUAAUCACCGCAUCUGAAGUAAUAGCAUCUGGUCUGGCUGGGAGUGCAUAGAAAUGGGCCUGACCACCACCUGAUCGACCUCCCCCUCUAGCGCGACCCCUAGCUGAUUGUCCUCCACCUCUAGCUGACUGGGUGGGUGGUGAAGUAACUGGUGCUGAAGUCGAUAGCUGACUCCUCUGCUGAGGCAUAUCCCCAUGACGACGAGGACACUGUUUCCAUGUAUGCCCCAACUCUCCAUACUCAUAACAAUCUCAUGACACUGGAGACGGGGACUGAAGGGAACCCCUAACACCAGGAUGACUAGCAGAAGAACCUGGCAUGGUAUGGAAGAGCCCUGAACUGAUGGAGUACGGGAUAAACUCUGGGCUAGAAGGGCACUAAGUGAUGAAUGGCCCUAAUGGGAAUUGUGAGAACCAAUGGCCCAAUGAUUCCUCACGAUAAACUUGGCGAGCUGACUGAGCAUGCCUAAAUGGACGACCUCUGCCGUGCUGAAACUGACCCCCAUGAGGAGCACCACUGAAUCCACCCUGACCACGAGGCCUCUUGGCCUCCCUCUCAACCCUCUCCUGACCACGAACCAUCUUAAUUUGUCGAUCUAUGUCAACAACCUCAUCAAAAGUAGCACCAAAUACCCUCUCUCUAGUCAUAAGCAACCGAAGCUGAAAGCCGAUGGCAUCUAUAAACCUCAUGAUCCUCUCUCAGUCCGCGGGAACCAACCAGACCACAUGAUGAGCCAACUUGAAAAACCGUAUAUCAUACUGUAUAACAAACCUAUCAACCUGACGAAGCUGCUCGAACUGCCUGCGCAUCUCCUCUCAACGAGACUCAGGUACAAACUUCUUCAGAAAGAGAACGGAGAACUGCUGCUAAGAAAGGGGCGCUGCGCCAACCGGCCUACGCGUCUCGUAAGCCUCCCACCAACUAAGUGCAGCACCGGAGAACUGGAAAGUAGUGAAUAAGACCCUAGUGGUCUCCAGAAUACCUGCGGUCCGAACCAUCCUCUGACAGUUAUCCAAGAAACCCUAUGCAUCCUGACCCUCAGCACCACUAAAUGACGGAGCUUGGAGUUUCCCAUACCUCUCCAAUUUGCACUGCUUGUCCUCUGGCAUAACAUGAGCUACAUAGUCCUGAGCAGCUACAACCGGCUGGGCUGGAGGUGCCACCGGUGCUCAGGUGUGCGAGCAGCGGGAGUUUGAGUGCCUUCAUUGGCUUGAGAAGUAGCUACGGCUGUAGUAACUGAGACUGCCUGAGCCAGGCCAGUGCACACUGAUAGAAUCUGAGCUAGGGCCUCCUGAAGGCCUAGAAUAACGAUAGGCAUAGUUGGUGCCUGUGCUGGUCCUGCUGGAGCGUCCGCAACUGGGACCUGAUCAUGAACUGGGGCAGUUGAUCGAUCUACAGUUGCUGCCUUAGCUGUAGUGCAGUCUACAUCCCUACCCCUACCACGACCUCAACCACCUCCUCGGCCUCUAGUGGCCCCAACUGGUGGUACUGGUGGUCGUCUGUCUUGUCCGGUAGCACGUGUCCUCACCAUCUGUGAGAGAAUAGAAUAACAGAAGUUUAGUUACCAGAAUCAACAAAUUUGCACGACAGGAAUUCAAGAAUGUGAAGUUUUUCCUAAAGGUUCUGUAGCCUCUCGAAGAUAAGUACAUAUGUCUCUGUACCGAUCCGCAAGACUCUACUAAACCCGCUCAUGACUCGUGAGACCUAUGUAACCUAUGUAACCUAGGCUCUGAUACCAACUUGUCGCGAUCCCAAAACCAACCCGGUCGUGAUGACGCCUAUCAUGAAACUAGGCCAACCGACACAAUCCCAAAUCAAGCCAUUAUUUCAAAAUAAGGACGAUUUAAGCUAUUAAUUUAAAUAAAAUCCCAUAACAUGAGUCUAAAUAACAAGUGCGGAAAGAAACACAAGCCCAACAUCGGGGCGUCACAAGUCACGAGCAUCUACUAAGGUCUGAAUACAAUAAAGACUAUCACAGUCUAAGGAAGAUAAGAGGGAGAAGAGCAAGGCUGAAAACGCCAUGCAACUACCUUGCCGACUCCGAAAGACCCGCCGGAUGAACGAUCAGCGCUCGCUAUCACGAUCCGCAAUUUCUGGAUAUGCAAACAAGGUGCAGGGAUUAAUAUGAGUACGCCAACUCAGUAAGUACUAAAAGUAAAUAAAGACUGAGCAAUAUGAAAACACAUAAUCCACAUCAUAAUACUACAGUAAGUACAAUAUGAUUUCCAAAACAAUAUAUAAUUCAGAUCAUCUUGUUAAAAUCCAAUUUCAGUAAAAAUCCUUUGAAAAAUUUCUUUCUAACCGUUUCAACAGAGAGUCAAUGAAGUUUUGAGUAAAAAUGGUAAAAAUCAUAAAUAGCCCCUCACGCAAGACAUGUAUCAUAAACUGCCCCUCGGGCAUAAUAUCAAUCAGAACCAGUCCCUCGGGCAACCUCACAAUAACUCGUAAUCAGUCUUUCGGGCAUAACAUAAAUCAAAAAUUGCCCCUCGGGCAUCAUAUCACUCACUCUGGGUACCCGCGCUCACUAGGGGUGUACAGACUAAUGAGGGGCUCCUACAGACCAAGCGCUAUAACAAGCCAUCUCGUGGCAUAAUAAAUCAAGCCCUCGGCCUCUAAUAUAUCUCGAAUCAGUACAACAUGCUGCGGCGCGCAACAACUCAAAGCUAAACCUUCCGUCAACCACCCAAAUCUAUCUCGAGGCCCUCGGGAACUCAACUAAAUAUGCCACAAGUCACAUAUCACCAUUCAAACUUAUUCCAAUCUUCAAAACACUUAAAACAACAUCAAAACAACAAAUCACCCUCUGAUUAAGCCUAAGGAUUUCCAAACUUCCGAAUUCUGCAAACGAUGCCAAAACCUAUCAAACCUCGUCCGAAUGAGUUGAAAUUUUGCACACACAUCACAAAUGACAUAACAGACCGAUUUUCGAAAUUCCAUUUCGACCCAGAUAUCAAGAUUUUCACUGCCGACCGGAAAAUGCCAAAUUUCCAAUUUCGCCAAUUAAAGCCUAAAUCUACCACGGACCUCCAAAUUACAUAUUGAACAUGCUUGAUGUUUAGCUUAAAGUAUAUAUAUAUUUUUAUGUAUAUCGCCUCAUAUCUUACUCUUGUUUUGUGAAUUUGGGAUGUUACAUGCUAUAAAUUAUAUUGAUUUGAAGUGUUUUUAUUUGUAGGAAUGAUUCAAGAGCAAUUUGGGGCAAAACGUUAAAGAUUUGAAGCUAAAACGAACAAAAUCGGGAAAGGAAGCAGUUGGGCACCACAGGCAGUGCCUGGCACCACCUGUGGCACUGAAAAUAGUAGGCUCAAAAAUUGGGGAGCUAUGGAGGGCGCCUGGCGCCGGGCUGGGCGCCGGUGACGCGAAUCAUGUCCUAUUUUGCCCGGGACAAGUUUAUUUCGGCCCUAGACCUACCCAACUGAUAUAAAAGCAAGACUAAACCUACAUUUGAGGGGAGAGACACACUUUGGAGCAAAAAUACAUGCAAGAAACAUUGAGGAGCAAGAAUAUCUCAGUUUUCUUCAUCUUUUUCUAGUAUUUCCAACUGAUUCAAAACUUGUACAAUUGUUUGAUUACAUCAUGAGUGGCUAAACACCCAUUGUUCUGGGGUUGUGAUUUAGCCAUGAAUAUUGUUGUUUAAAGUUAGCUUGACCUUGAUUAUAAUUCACCAAUAUAUGGUUGUUUCUUCAA
rnacentral:lncRNA from 1 species